rnacentral:lncRNA from 1 species
UCUAAUGCUAGGCAAGUCACUUGCUUUGGGGGAGGCCUCAGCUUCUCUGUCUAUAAGAUUGCAGCAGGGGUGUAGUGGGAAUGAGUCUUCAACAUUCCAAGAGAUUUUAUCUACUAAUACGACAGUCAAAUGGAGCAUGACUUUGUGGAAGCCUCUCCUCUUCCACCCAGAGGGGCCAAUUUCUCUGUCCCAGUGAGAUGUGACACUUGUAUGAUCCCUGCUUGGAGACUUCCCUCUUCUGGAACCUGCCCUGGCUCAGGCAUGAGGGCUGACUGUCACCCUUAGAUAGGAGCCCAGCACCAAAGCUCAUGUGUUGGCAGUGUUCUUGAGGGAAGGAAAAAGACCAGCCAGCCCAGUUGUUACUGCACAAGCAAACAGCUUCUGGGGCUUUUUGGUGUUUAUCUUGA